rnacentral:rRNA from 1 species
UACGGAGGGGGCAAGCGUUAUUCGGAAUUAUUGGGCGUAAAGGGCGCGUAGGCGUCUAGAUGUGUCAAAGGUGAAAUCCCUCGGCUCAACUGAGGAACUGCCUUUGAAACUGUCUGGCUUGAGGCCGGGAGAGGGUAGCGGAAUUCCCAGUGUAGCGGUGAAAUGCGUAGAUAUUGGGAGGAACACCAGUGGCGAAGGCGGCUACCUGGACCGGUUCUGACGCUGAGGCGCGAAAGCGUGGGUAGCAAACAGG